UACGAAGGGGGCUAGCGUUACUCGGAAUUACUGGGCGUAAAGGGCGCGUAGGCGGCGCUCCAAGUUGGGCGUGAAAGUCCUGGGCUCAACCUGGGAACUGCGCUUAAGACUGGAGUGCUAGAGGAUGGAAGAGGGUUGUGGAAUUCCCAGUGUAGAGGUGAAAUUCGUAGAUAUUGGGAAGAACACCGGUGGCGAAGGCGGCAACCUGGUCCAUUUCUGACGCUGAGGCGCGAUAGCGUGGGGAGCAAACAGG
rnacentral:rRNA from 1 species